GGGUUGUGAGGUUAAGCGACUAAGCGUACACGGUGGAUGCCCUGGCAGUCAGAGGCGAUGAAGGACGUGCUAAUCUGCGAUAAGCGUCGGUAAGGUGAUAUGAACCGUUAUAACCGGCGAUUUCCGAAUGGGGAAACCCAGUGUGUUUCGACACACUAUCAUUAACUGAAUCCAUAGGUUAAUGAGGCGAACCGGGGGAACUGAAACAUCUAAGUACCCCGAGGAAAAGAAAUCAACCGAGAUUCCCCCAGUAGCGGCGAGCGAACGGGGAGCAGCCCAGAGCCUGAAUCAGUGUGUGUGUUAGUGGAAGCGUCUGGAAAGGCGCGCGAUACAGGGUGACAGCCCCGUACACAAAAAUGCACAUGCUGUGAGCUCGAUGAGUAGGGCGGGACACGUGGUAUCCUGUCUGAAUAUGGGGGGACCAUCCUCCAAGGCUAAAUACUCCUGACUGACCGAUAGUGAACCAGUACCGUGAGGGAAAGGCGAAAAGAACCCCGGCGAGGGGAGUGAAAAAGAACCUGAAACCGUGUACGUACAAGCAGUGGGAGCACGCUUAGGCGUGUGACUGCGUACCUUUUGUAUAAUGGGUCAGCGACUUAUAUUCUGUAGCAAGGUUAACCGAAUAGGGGAGCCGAAGGGAAACCGAGUCUUAACUGGGCGUUAAGUUGCAGGGUAUAGACCCGAAACCCGGUGAUCUAGCCAUGGGCAGGUUGAAGGUUGGGUAACACUAACUGGAGGACCGAACCGACUAAUGUUGAAAAAUUAGCGGAUGACUUGUGGCUGGGGGUGAAAGGCCAAUCAAACCGGGAGAUAGCUGGUUCUCCCCGAAAGCUAUUUAGGUAGCGCCUCGUGAAUUCAUCUCCGGGGGUAGAGCACUGUUUCGGCAAGGGGGUCAUCCCGACUUACCAACCCGAUGCAAACUGCGAAUACCGGAGAAUGUUAUCACGGGAGACACACGGCGGGUGCUAACGUCCGUCGUGAAGAGGGAAACAACCCAGACCGCCAGCUAAGGUCCCAAAGUCAUGGUUAAGUGGGAAACGAUGUGGGAAGGCCCAGACAGCCAGGAUGUUGGCUUAGAAGCAGCCAUCAUUUAAAGAAAGCGUAAUAGCUCACUGGUCGAGUCGGCCUGCGAGUAAGAUGUUACUGGGGUAAACCAUGCACAGAAGCUGCGGCAGCGACGCUGAUGCGUUGUUGGGUAGGGGAGCGUUCUGUAAGCCUGCGAAGGUGUGCUGUGAGGCAUGCUGGAGGUAUCAGAAGUGCGAAUGCUGACAUAAGUAACGAUAAAGCGGGUGAAAAGCCCGCUCGCCGGAAGACCAAGGGUUCCUGUCCAACGUUAAUCGGGGCAGGGUGAGUCGACCCCUAAGGCGAGGCCGAAAGGCGUAGUCGAUGGGAAACAGGUUAAUAUUCCUGUACUUGGUGUUACUGCGAAGGGGGGACGGAGAAGGCUAUGUUGGCCGGGCGACGGUUGUCCCGGUUUAAGCGUGUAGGCUGGUUUUCCAGGCAAAUCCGGAAAAUCAAGGCUGAGGCGUGAUGACGAGGCACUACGGUGCUGAAGCAACAAAUGCCCUGCUUCCAGGAAAAGCCUCUAAGCAUCAGGUAACAUCAAAUCGUACCCCAAACCGACACAGGUGGUCAGGUAGAGAAUACCAAGGCGCUUGAGAGAACUCGGGUGAAGGAACUAGGCAAAAUGGUGCCGUAACUUCGGGAGAAGGCACGCUGAUAUGUAGGUGAAGUCCCUCGCGGAUGGAGCUGAAAUCAGUCGAAGAUACCAGCUGGCUGCAACUGUUUAUUAAAAACACAGCACUGUGCAAACACGAAAGUGGACGUAUACGGUGUGACGCCUGCCCGGUGCCGGAAGGUUAAUUGAUGGGGUUAGCGCAAGCGAAGCUCUUGAUCGAAGCCCCGGUAAACGGCGGCCGUAACUAUAACGGUCCUAAGGUAGCGAAAUUCCUUGUCGGGUAAGUUCCGACCUGCACGAAUGGCGUAAUGAUGGCCAGGCUGUCUCCACCCGAGACUCAGUGAAAUUGAACUCGCUGUGAAGAUGCAGUGUACCCGCGGCAAGACGGAAAGACCCCGUGAACCUUUACUAUAGCUUGACACUGAACAUUGAGCCUUGAUGUGUAGGAUAGGUGGGAGGCUUUGAAGUGUGGACGCCAGUCUGCAUGGAGCCGACCUUGAAAUACCACCCUUUAAUGUUUGAUGUUCUAACGUGACCCGUAAUCCGGGUUGCGGACAGUGUCUGGUGGGUAGUUUGACUGGGGCGGUCUCCUCCUAAAGAGUAACGGAGGAGCACGAAGGUUGGCUAAUCCUGGUCGGACAUCAGGAGGUUAGUGCAAUGGCAUAAGCCAGCUUGACUGCGAGCGUGACGGCGCGAGCAGGUGCGAAAGCAGGUCAUAGUGAUCCGGUGGUUCUGAAUGGAAGGGCCAUCGCUCAACGGAUAAAAGGUACUCCGGGGAUAACAGGCUGAUACCGCCCAAGAGUUCAUAUCGACGGCGGUGUUUGGCACCUCGAUGUCGGCUCAUCACAUCCUGGGGCUGAAGUAGGUCCCAAGGGUAUGGCUGUUCGCCAUUUAAAGUGGUACGCGAGCUGGGUUUAGAACGUCGUGAGACAGUUCGGUCCCUAUCUGCCGUGGGCGCUGGAGAAAUGAGGGGGGCUGCUCCUAGUACGAGAGGACCGGAGUGGACGCAUCACUGGUGUUCGGGUUGUCAUGCCAAUGGCACUGCCCGGUAGCUAAAUGCGGAAGAGAUAAGUGCUGAAAGCAUCUAAGCACGAAACUUGCCCCGAGAUGAGUUCUCCCUGACUCCUUGAGAGUCCUGAAGGAACGUUGAAGACGACGACGUUGAUAGGCCGGGUGUGUAAGCGCAGCGAUGCGUUGAGCUAACCGGUACUAAUGAACCGUGAGGCUUAACCUUACAACGCCGAAG
rnacentral:rRNA from 1 species